ensembl:snoRNA Gm22499 small nucleolar RNA SNORA17
ACUGCUCCUAGUGGUGUGGCUGCUGUGGCUGCUGUGCCUCAUGUGUAUCAGUAGAUAGCAGAGAGCGGAGAGAGGCUAUGUCUACUGUCAGUGUCUUGACUCUAUGAACAUCUGAAUGAUUAACAGCAUAACACU